AUCUACUCCCUGAAGCACCAUCUUCCUUUGAUUCUUUUCCAGUUGUGGGAUGCACUCCACUGGCUUGGCUGUGUAGUACACCAUUGGUUUUCUGCCAAGUAACAGCUCUGGGUGGAGAACAGAGAUACUUCUGCUUGUCUGCUCUGACAGGUGGUCUUGAAAAAAACAGGUCUCCAAGCUGAACUUUUAUUCUGAUUUGAAGCAAAAAAAAAAAAAGAAAAAAAAAAAAAGAAAAAGAAAAGAAAAAGCCAGUCUUAACUUGACUCCUAGGGUCUGUUUUAUUUCAAUAGGGAAACAACUUACUAAUUAGGAUUAUUUUUAUUCACAAGACAGCAAGACGUAUGGCCAGCAGUCUGUAGUAUCCCAUUCUUCCAGGCUAUCAUUUACAUCACUGGAUGCCUGUCCUGCUCGGUGCACGCCCUCAACGAUAGACUCAGCGCGAGAGUGAUUUGACUUGAGUUGUUCUGCUCUUCUUGGAAUCACAGAUUGAUCCCACAAAAAAAAACUUCUGGGGAAAACAGGCAGUUUCUGCAUAGCACUUGGUAUUCACCUCCCUAAAAACUGUACUCUGAGAGGGAAAGGUACACAGGCUGAGAAUCAAAGGAGAGGGCUCACACAAUGAGCUGAGCCUCUAAUAAAAAUGCACUGACACAGGUAAUGAUGGCUUGGAGAAGGGCUGUUCUUACAGCUGGAUGCAGCGAGCAUCCUAACGAAUAGUAGAUUUUUUUUUUAAUCUUUUUCUUUUACAUAAGGUAUCUUUUGGGAGGCAAAGUCCUAUACAUAAUUAAGGCAGUUUCUUUUUUAACCAGAUGCAUUGCAAUGUGUGCUCUCUAAACAAAAUAAAUAACCAUG
ensembl:lncRNA